rnacentral:rRNA from 1 species
UAUUGCACAAUGGGCGCAAGCCUGAUGCAGCCAUGCCGCGUGUGUGAAGAAGGCCUUCGGGUUGUAAAGCACUUUCAGUCAGGAGGAAAGGUUAGUAGUUAAUACCUGCUAGCUGUGACGUUACUGACAGAAGAAGCACCGGCUAACUCCGUGCCAGCAGCCGCGGUAAUACGGAGGGUGCGAGCGUUAAUCGGAAUUACUGGGCGUAAAGCGUACGCAGGCGGUUUGUUAAGCGAGAUGUGAAAGCCCCGGGCUCAACCUGGGAACUGCAUUUCGAACUGGCAAACUAGAGUGUGAUAGAGGGUGGUAGAAUUUCAGGUGUAGCGGUGAAAUGCGUAGAGAUCUGAAGGAAUACCGAUGGCGAAGGCAGCCACCUGGGUCAACACUGACGCUCAUUACGAA